UGAUGUGUGGGUGAUCUGGCUAUGGCAUCUGUCACUCCAUUGGUCACUAGAGUUGAUUUGGCUGAUCUGGUCAGCUAGACAAGUGUCCCUUUCUUCCCUCAUCACUCCAUGUGCAUCCCUCCUGAAGCUGCACAUUUGGUGGAAGAGAACAACCAUCUUAGACAGAAANAGAGUACUGUUCUUUGGCCGAGGAUAUAUACAGAUACACAGUCAGUGGGUGUAUCCCCUUGUGCUGUCAAAGAGGCAGGAUCCAGUGCUCCUUUUGGGACAUAUCAAGUGCCCAUGGAUGAAGUCACUAUAAAUUGUUUUAUUAAUU
rnacentral:snRNA from 1 species